rnacentral:rRNA from 1 species
UACGAAGGGGGCUAGCGUUGCUCGGAAUUACUGGGCGUAAAGGGAGCGUAGGCGGACUGUUAAGUUAGAGGUGAAAGCCUAGGGCUCAACCUUGGAAUUGCCUUUGAUACUGGCAGUCUUGAGUACGGAAGAGGUAUGUGGAACUCCGAGUGUAGAGGUGAAAUUCGUAGAUAUUCGGAAGAACACCAGUGGCGAAGGCGGCUCACUGGUCCGGUACUGACGCUGAUGUGCGAAAGCGUGGGGAGCAAACAGG